rnacentral:rRNA from 1 species
GAUGAACGCUAGCGGCAGGCUUAAUACAUGCAAGUCGAACGGGAUUGAGAAGCUUGUUUUUCAUGAGAGUGGCGCACGGGUGCGUAACACGUAUGCAACCUGCCUUGUCCAGGGGGAUAGCCCGUUGAAAGACGGAUUAAGACCGCAUAACAUCAUUGAAGGGCAUCGUUUAAUGAUCAAAUAUUUAUAGGGAGAGAAUGGGCAUGCGUCUGAUUAGCUAGUUGGCGGGGUAAUGGCCCACCAAGGCGACGAUCAGUAGGGGAUCUGAGAGGAUGACCCCCCACACCGGUACUGAGACACGGACCAGACUCCUACGGGAGGCAGCAGUAAGGAAUAUUGGUCAAUGGGCGCAAGCCUGAACCAGCCAUGCCGCGUGCAGGAAGACGGCCCUACGGGUUGUAAACUGCUUUUAUACGGGAAUAACCCCGGUUUCGUGAAACCGGCUGAAUGUACCGUAAGAAUAAGGAUCGGCUAACUCCGUGCCAGCCGCCGCCGUAA